GAAUAAGUUAUUUCUCAUCCUGGUCAAUCCACCGAGCCAGACGCACUAGCACCUCCACCGCUCACCUUUUUUUACAGGAUCCAGCGCCCAUUGAAGCGGUAGCGGCGGGAGGUCUCGGCGGCGAGCGGCCGCAGCGCGGAGGAGCGUGGUGUCCUUCGGCGGCGAUUCCACCGAUCCCCUUCGCCUCCGGUGGCUGAUUAGGUGUCGGCUUGCUGAUGGGAACACGGAUCUGUCCACAAAGUUUUUGCAGAGGCUGUAGAUAGAAGAGGUCAUGAGGCUGAACAUCCUGUCCAAUCAGAGAUGGGUGGUCAUGGAUUCAAAGAAGGCGGAGUGUAGUCAUGUAGUGUCGCUGGUGUUUCUCGGUGUCAGGUUAUGUUUGGCCAUUGGCAUGCAUAUUGAUGCGCCAUGCAUCUCCUUUCAUCAUGAUGGUCAGCGACCGCGUCUUCGCCGCCGGAGCUGUUCAGUAUCACCUACUCUCGGGUGAAGCUCGGCGAGAGAGGCCCUAUAGUUUACAAAUAUUCGUGGAGCUCUCACAAUGGCAGACAGAGAGAGGAGCUACUCCAGCAUUGCAUGGCUGACAGCAAGUGACUAAUGCCCUAAUCUUGUUGUGUAAAUUAAUGCAACUGGCGUUAACUUGUAGAGCAUCAUGUUGUUAGAAUAGUUCUAAGGUCACCGUGUGAUUUCGUUUACAUUUUUGCUUGCUUGCCG
rnacentral:rRNA from 1 species